rnacentral:lncRNA from 1 species
CUCUCUCUCUCUAUCUCAUCCCUUCUUGUCACUUCUCUCUAGAACCUUAUGGUUCUCUUUUCUCCGAUAGUCUAUACCAUCUCCGACCACAACCUCACCGGAAUCCAUGGGUUUCUCAGGCCAUAGAUGACAUAUACUCACCUCUUAUUACUCAUGUGUGCCUGGUGCUUGAAGGUUCGAGACCAUACCUUCAUCGACUAAAGGUUUCCGGCUUUUCUCUGGCAUAUUCUAGCCUCCUGAGCCUGAUUUUGACUUUAUCCAACUUAGAUUGAACCUUUUUCCAAAGCCUUUCUCACUCUAGGGUUCCUCUGAAACCCUAGCUAUUCGAGUUUUUUCUUUGAUUCUUUUUAGAUCCGUUGUGUAUCUAUGCUAUGCAUGAGUUUUCAAAUGACUUUCCUAAAGGUUUCUUUGAAAAUUACCUUCAUAACCUUUCUUUGCCGAUUUUAGGUUUUCUGGAAAAUGUCUAGGAAUUUUAUGAUUUUUCUUCUUUGUGUUGUCCUCUGUUGUGUUCUCGUAUCAUCUUUAUAUGCUUCCUUUACUGUGUUUUCUACAAUAUGGUCUUGCAGAUUUUUUUACUGUAUUUUUCUCAUAUUCUCAUAUGUUUGUCAUACUGUGUCUUCCUAUAUGCUUUCGUACUAUACCUUUCCCGGAGAUUCUUAUGUUUUCAACUAUAUUUUCCUUGCUAAGUUCUUAUGGUUCUUUGUCUGCCUUCUAUUGAGCCUUGUUUAGGGUUCAUCUAUGCAUGUUACCCUUGUUAAUCUUUGCUAUGUUCUCUUUACUCUUUUACUAUAUGUAUUUACCGUUAAGUUAUUUGAUUUUAUUUACUGGACUCUGUUCAUGUUCUUACAUACUCCAUCUACUUGUGUUCACGUUUGUGUUAUGUCCUUCUUCUGAAAUUAUUUAGGUUUCGAAUUUUCUCAAAAUAUGUUUUUCAUGGUUCUUCUUCCUUUGUCAUUUAACAUGUUAUCAUAUUUGUCUUGUUGAGACUCUGAAGCAAAUGGCUACCCCGUGUGGCAGCAAGCCACUAGCAAUUAUGUGACUCAUGGUCACAUUAGGAUAGGUGACAUCUUGACAAUUCAAUUGCAAGACACCUCAACACCUUAACACUUUCAAACCAAAUCAUUUUGCAAUAGUCGCUAUCUUCAUCCAAUUUUGCAUAAAGUUGCAAAGAAUAUUUUCAUAUGCAUGGAGAUGGAUGAAAUUUUUGAUAUCAUAAAGGAGGUAGACGCAUCAUAGGAAAAGCAUAUUCAUAAAGAAAACCCACUCAAAACAAC